rnacentral:rRNA from 1 species
UACGUAGGGUGCAAGCGUUAAUCGGAAUUACUGGGCGUAAAGCGUGCGCAGGCGGUUAUGUAAGACAGAUGUGAAAUCCCCGGGCUCAACCUGGGAACUGCAUUUGUGACUGCAUAGCUAGAGUACGGUAGAGGGGGAUGGAAUUCCGCGUGUAGCAGUGAAAUGCGUAGAUAUGCGGAGGAACACCGAUGGCGAAGGCAAUCCCCUGGACCUGUACUGACGCUCAUGCACGAA